UACAGAGGAUGCAAGCGUUAUCCGGAAUGAUUGGGCGUAAAGCGUCUGUAGGUGGCUUUUUAAGUCCGCCGUCAAAUCCCAGGGCUCAACUCUGGACAGGCGGUGGAAACUACCAAGCUUGAGUACGGUAGGGGCAGAGGGAAUUUCCGGUGGAGCGGUGAAAUGCGUAGAGAUCGGAAAGAACACCAACGGCGAAGGCACCCUACUGGGCCAUUACUGACACUGAGAGACGAAAAGCUAGGGGAGCAAAUGGG
rnacentral:rRNA from 1 species